CAAUAACAAUAUACACAUUUUAAAAAUGCAACGUGGAGCCUCGUGCAGUAGAAAAGUACGUUAGGAACACAGUUCUGGCCUAGUGUUGUCGCAUUGAACAUAAUUUACCAUUGGCCAGCCUCCAAAUUCCCACUCAGAA